rnacentral:rRNA from 1 species
UACGGAGGGUGCAAGCGUUAUCCGGAAUCACUGGGUUUAAAGGGUGCGUAGGCGGUUACGUAAGUCAGAGGUGAAAGGUCACAGCUUAACUGUGAGAUGGCCUUUGAAACUGCGUAACUUGAAUCAGAUAGAGGUUAGUGGAAUGCGACAUGUAGCGGUGAAAUGCAUAGAUAUGUCGUGGAAUACCGAUUGCGAAGGCA